AUUACUUUGGCAGAAUAGUGUUUUAAAUUUAGAAUUUAAUUAUGUAUAAAAAUAUACAAGUAAUA
rnacentral:tRNA from 1 species